rnacentral:lncRNA from 1 species
UCUCUCACUAUCAUCUCUCUCUCUCUCUCUAGAUCUCCCAAACAAAAUCACCAGCACCAUUAUCUUAGACUAAACCACAUCAUCAUCACCACAGCCAACUCUAACAGCCACCACUAACCCACCGCAACAACCACCCCCUACUGCCACCAUAAACCCACCGCCACACAGCCCCACAACGCCACCACAAACCCACCGCCACAACCACCCCUACUGCCACCACAAACCCACCUUCCACACAGCCCCACAACGCACCACAAACCCAACGACACACCGCCCCACAACGCCACCACCAAUCCAACGGCACAACCACCUCCACUGCCACCACGAACCCACCCCACAAGCACCACGAACCCACUGCCUCAACCACCCCCACCACCGCUACACCUUCUUGAACCAAAUCGCACCUUCGAAGCCCUAAUCACACCUUCAAAAAAUUUUCUAGAUUUGGGUUGAAACCUUAGAUCGGAUCCAGAUUUAGGAGUGUUGAAAUAUAAUUUGGUUCCUGUUUAAUGGAGGUGCCAUGGUGGGGUGUCGAUGAUGGUAGUGGACCAUGGGGUUGGCGGUGGUGGGGAAAUUUUGGGUGGUGGUGUGUUGGUGUGUGUGGGAGAGGUGGGGAAUGGUAGUGGGAGUGGUGGUGCACGGCGGUGGAAGUGGUGUUUGUGGUGAGGAAUGGUGGUGGCGGUGAUCUUGGAUGAGAGAGAGUUGGGUUUGAUUAUUUAAUAUAGGUGUGUUUGUUUAAAUAAUAAAAUUUAAAAAUAAGUAC